GACGAACGCUGGCGGCGCGCCUAACACAUGCAAGUCGAACGAGCGAGAGAGAGCUUGCUUUCUCAAGCGAGUGGCGAACGGGUGAGUAACGCGUGAGGAACCUGCCUCAAAGAGGGGGACAACAGUUGGAAACGACUGCUAAUACCGCAUAAGCCCACGACCCGGCAUCGGGUAGAGGGAAAAGGAGCAAUCCGCUUUGAGAUGGCCUCGCGUCCGAUUAGCUAGUUGGUGAGGUAAUGGCCCACCAAGGCGACGAUCGGUAGCCGGACUGAGAGGUUGAACGGCCACAUUGGGACUGAGACACGGCCCAGACUCCUACGGGAGGCAGCAGUGGGGAAUAUUGCACAAUGGGGGAAACCCUGAUGCAGCGACGCCGCGUGGAGGAAGAAGGUCUUCGGAUUGUAAACUCCUGUUGUUGAGGAAGAUAAUGACGGUACUCA
rnacentral:rRNA from 1 species